rnacentral:lncRNA from 1 species
GGUGGGUUGGGAAGAAAAUCCAUUCCUGCCUGUAGGAGGGGGUUCUCAAGGUACCCUUCCCAGCCUGCACCUACUGUUAACAUGAAGCUUCUGCCACAUUACAAUGCUCUUGGAUGGAUGCAGCUUACAAGGAGAGCUGAUGGCAGUGCUGGACAGAAUCUGUCUCUGAAGAGGAUUCUGACCUGCAGCUCUCCUGUGAAUCAGGAGUACAAGUCAGUCUUGAGCCUUUCCUCGUGAGCUGACAUACAGAUCAAGAGGUGGGUGCAGAGACAGUCUUUGUAGAACUCAGGAAGAAAAUCCAACCAGAAAAAGGCAGCCAACCACCAUGAUUUAGGGAGAGAAACUAUCAUUAGAGCACAAGACUAAAAGAUGGUAAAAUAAGUGAAAUGGAAUAUUUAAACAAAAAUUUUGAGACUCCUAAUAUGAAGUAUAAAAUUCCAAUGAGCAAAGGGCCCGAUAAAAGGCCCAAAA